rnacentral:rRNA from 1 species
AUGGCGGUGGCGCGGCUGCGCUCGGCCACCGCGGCCCGGCUCCAGCCGGCGCUCGCCGGCCGGCGGCGCCUCGGGACGGCGGCCGCCGCGGAGGCCCCGGAGGCGGUCGUCGGGGCGGGCGGCGCGCGGUGGGAGCCGAUGGGCGCGCGGGAGUACUACGACUACCGGCGGGCCAUCUACGGCGACAUCACGCACAAGGCCAUCCUCGUCGACGCCGCCGGCACCCUCCUCGCCCCCACCGAGCCCAUGGCCCAGGUGUACAGAACAGUAGGCGAAAAGUAUGGGGUUAAGUACUCGGAGGAUGAGAUCCUGAUGAGGUACCGGCAGGCAUAUUCGCAGCCAUGGGGCAGAUCGCGGCUUAGGUAUGUUGAUGAUGGGAGGCCCUUUUGGCAACAUAUAGUUAGUUCUUCUACAGGCUGCUCAGAUUUACAGUACUUUGAGGAACUUUAUCAUUACUAUACGACUGAGAAGGCCUGGCGGCUCAUUGACCCUGAUGCUAAAUAUGUUUUUGAAGCAUUGAGAAGGGCUGGUGUGAGAACAGCUGUUGUAUCCAACUUUGACACCCGCCUCCGGCCACUUUUACAGGCCCUGAAUUGCGAUCACUGGUUCGACGCAGUUGCUGUGUCUGCUGAGGUUGCAGCAGAAAAGCCAAACCCAACAAUAUUCCUGAAGGCCUGCGAGUUGUUGGACGUGAAGCCUGAAGAGGCUGUGCAUAUUGGGGACGACCGUCGGAAUGAUUUGUGGGGAGCUAGGGACGCAGGCUGCGAUGCCUGGCUCUGGGGCAGUGAUGUUCACUCCUUCAAGGAAGUCGCAGAAAGGAUCGGAGUUAGCGUGGGUAUGGGCAACAAUAUGUGA